AUCCAGAUGACGAGUCCCAAAUAGGAAAAAAUGUGCAUCCUGGAU
rfam:Trichobilharzia regenti genome assembly, scaffold: TRE_scaffold0000609